rnacentral:rRNA from 1 species
GACGAACGCUGGCGGCGUGCCUAACACAUGCAAGUGGAGCGACGAACCAGGCUUCGGCCUGGGGCAAAGCCGCGAACGGGUGAGUAACACGUGGGUAACCUGCCCUGAUGAUUGGGACAACCCGAGGAAACUCGGGCUAAUACCAAAUGUGCCCUUCGGCCACAAGGCCGCUGGGGAAAGGAAGCUUCGGCCUCCGCAUCUGGAUGGGCCCGCGGCCCAUUAGCUUGUUGGUGAGGUAACGGCUCACCAAGGCGACGAUGGGUAGCUGGUCUGAGAGGACGAUCAGCCACACUGGGACUGAGACACGGCCCAGACUCCUACGGGAGGCAGCAGUGGGGAAUCUUGCGCAAUGCGCGAAAGCGUGACGCAGCAACGCCG